ensembl:lncRNA
GUAUAUGUGCCUUUUCUUCCCACAGAGACUUUUAAGGUAAAAGGAAGGAUUGGGCUUUGAAAAGACCUUUCUCUGCAGUCACUCCUCGACCCCAGUGAUCAGCGUGGCUCCUCCGUCACUCCCAUCUGCUUCCUCCCCUUUCCUCCAGGCCCGCUGAUCCAGGCUUUGCUGACACGUUUGGAGGGGAGAGAGGGCCCCUCUUCUGUGAAAUGGGGCUCUUGACGGCACUUACCAGUGAGGAUGUUAGAAGGACUGUGUGAAUUUAUAGAGGCCACGUGCUCUGAGCAGGGUCUUGCACACGGCCGCCCUCAGUAAAGAGAGCCCUCUCCCAGCGUUGGCAUCCUCAGGACAGUGCUGUGGAGGGGGAGUUAGAGUCCUCAUUUCACAGAGGAGGAAAGCGGAGGCCAGAAGUCUCACGGCUGGAAGACGUUGGGGCAGGAUUGGAAUUCAGCUCCAGACUGCUCAGAAGCCUCUUACUGACGCGUGUGGUUGGAAAUGAAGGCUCCCAGGGCCGGGACGCUCAGGUUCUUCAUGUUUCAGGUGAUGAAGGCGAUUUUUAAUCGUGAUCCGUUGAAAGCUACGAGUGGAAAGUAACAGAAACAUCACCAAGGAAAUCCUGAAUGGCACAUUAAAACCAACCUGAAUCAAAGGGUUCCUGGAACACGACAUUGCCACGUGCUUCACAGCCUCCGACAGGAACAGAAAUCCCUCCUGUCCGAUGCCCGGGGCUCCUUGGGAAACCGUCUGCAGGCCCCUGAGCUGUCCAUGCUAUGGACUUCCCUUGCGGCCUGGGGCAGGCCGGAACCUCGAAGCAAUGAUAGUAAUUGUCUUCACGGGGCAAACCAGGCUUCCUAACCAACGAAUUUCCUGUUCUCCAGUUUGUGUGGUGACCACUGGGACAGCCACGCAGCUCUCUGGGCCUCCGUUUGAUGAUUUGGUCUGAGGUUUGCUGCCAAAAAGGCCUGUCUGUCUCCCCAUGAGCGUUAGGCCCCGGGGCCGGGGAGGGGGAAGCAGCUCUGAGGGCAGCUCGCUGUCUACUUUUCUUCCCUGGACGUCGGGUUAAUUCCAUUCUACCACCCUGUGUCCGUAUGAGUUCCAAUUGAAAAAAAAAAAACAGAAACCCAAACUUUCUUGCCCUCUCUGCCCUCAAGAUAACGUGAUUAAAUGGGGCAGAACUGGCCACCAGCUACACCAACAAUAUCUUGCAAUUUUGCUCUUAGCUGAUUAGAGAACACAAUGUCUCUGCAGAGAAUGGACUCAUUUAUCACAUCUCCCCGGAAGGUUCGUGCUGGACUGGGCUGGUGAGCAAAGCUCACUGCAGAGGAAGGACCCGAGGAGGGAGAACCCAGCACGCCUCUGGAAGCACAGAUUCUGCCUUUCCACUCAGCAAUUAAUCUCCUUUGGCUCUGCUAAAUUACGGCAGAGGCAGCAUCACUCUAAAGUGCAAAUACGAGGUGGCCAGUGGGUCCUGGAGGGGAGCAGCGAGCAACCUUGCAGAUGACAGCUGAACACCACCAGCGCGGUGGUCGCAGGGCGCACGAGUACUUGAAGGACAGGGAGGGGACCCUG